CUCUCGAUUUUUUUGGACGGAAAGUUAAAUAUAUGAAAUAUGAAAUUUAGAGGUGAAAUGGGCAGAGAAGCCUGGAAAAAUAUAUGCAUUCUAAAUCUAUUUUGACUUUCAUUUGCUAGUUAUGGGGUGUUGGACUGGGUGUGUAACCUCUCUAGAUCUCACUUUUUGGAGGGUUGAACUUUAAGAUCUCUUCCAGGUCUAUGACUUUUACUCAGGUGAGAGAGAUGAAAUAGAUUUAGACUCUUCCUAUUUUACAUUUGUAAAUUUACAAUUUGUGCCAUUUCAACUUGAAUCUUAUUUCAAGAAGCAUUUUUUUUUCCUAUUUUUAGGUAGGUAUCAUUUGUAUUUUUUCCUGUUAGUGAAUCAACUUUUCCUAAGUGUAUUUUUCUUAGAUGCUAUUUUUUUGUCUUAGGCAACAUGAUAGAUGCCUCUGGCAUCACCUUGAUUAACUGAAGUAAACACAUACUCGGAGGCCGGUCUUCCCUAGUUUCAAACUGGUGGAUGAGUUCUGUGCAGGAAUAUUCCACAGAUAGAUGACUUAGAGGUGCUGCCUCCCUCCCCCAAAUUGUUGAGAGUCUGUUACAGUAUUAGAGAGGAAUGUCAUGUAAGUGAGAAGAAUUGACUAUUCUAACUUGUGGAGUUGCUUUAUUUGGGAUUGUGGAACAGGUUUUUCCAUUCUCAGUAGGAUAAUCUGUUAUUGUGUCAGGGAGCAGGCAGGUGUGGCAUUAUCUGGAAGGAUAGGAAAGAUGAGAUGAGUUUAACAUAUUGGAGAAAAAGCUGAGGACACUAGAGAAACUUUUCUAAGAAAACUGAGCUUCGAGACCUUUCCCUCAGUACUUAGCAGGGUUUCCCAUGCUCUUCUUUAUCUGAAGAAACCCAUUCUUUCAGCAGACACUUUUUGAACUGGGUGCUGUGGGAAUUACAAACGAAGUAUUCAUCCAGAGCUUCUUCCUCUAGGCAUUUGCUGUCUAGCUGGGUCCCCAGUGCUUGGUCCUUGAAAAGGUGCAGCGAAUGUCUGAGGACCCCAGAGCGUGGCGAGGGAAGGGAGAAGGGCUCCAGCAGUGGGGGAAGCCCCCAUGGAGCCACGACGUUCCAGCAGUUUGAAGGACCAGUAGUUAAGAAGAGCUAAAGAACUCGUUUUAAUUUUCUCUUGAGAGAGAGAAUGAGGGAUGAAAUUGGGUUAGGUUAAGACACAGGCCUGGGAGUUGGAAAUUCUUAUAUGUUUUAAGGCCAAAAAUAAGGGGACCCUACAGAAGUGCCAGAGCCUUUUUACCCUAUCUUUUCAUUUUGACAUUUUCAAAACUUUGGAAAAAUAGUACCAUGAAUAACUGUAUACCCUUCUUCUAGAUUAAUCGCUUGUUAACAUUUGCCACAGUUGCCUUCAUGCUCUGUGUAUUUAUGUGCUUUGAAUCAAAUGUGGUAUGUAAAUUUGCAUCAUUUUGCUUAACCACUUGAACAUAAGUUGUAGAUACCACGUUUCACCUCCAAAUACCUGCUAAAGAGGACUUUCUUCUAUAUAACCCCAAUAAAAUGGUCAUAUCCAACAAGUUUUUCAUUGCUAUAAUAACAUGAUCUAGUAUAUAGAAAAUAUUUACAUUUGGGAGUGGAGUGUAUAUUUAUUAAUUUUUUAAAAAUAGGAUGGACUUCUCCAGCAAAAUGAAUAUUUAAUGAAUUGUUUGGACAAGAGACUAGGGCCACAGAAACUGGUUUAUACGUUGUUAAAAAGUCCUAUAUAGAACCAUAAAGAUAGAAAAAGGAAGCUCAUUAUAUCCUGAUAUGUUAUACUCUUGGAGAUACAAUCUUAAGAACAAGGCAUAGAAGAGUGUAAAAAAGAAUUUAUGAACAGUUGUGGAUAGCUAGAACGUCUCUGGAAGGUUAAAAAAAACUAAUGGUAUCAUUUCAUUCUCUUAGGAGAAGGAGAGAGGUAGUUGGAGGACAGGGUUGGAGGACAAUAUUUCUCUUUAUGUCCUAAAGAAAUUUGGAGAACCAAACAUGAUGGAGGAUAAUGUGGGAGAAAGAAUAUAUGUAAAUAUAUAUAUAUACAUAUGUGUGUGUGUAUGUCUGGGUGACUUUGCCGUGCCAUAGAAACUGACAGAACACUGUAAAUCAACUAUAAUGGAAAAAAUAAAAAUCAUAAAAUUAUAAAACAAAAACCGAAAAGUCCCGCACCUGUUUUUUUCCAUGUAAACAGAGAGUACUGAAGUACGCAUAUUCAGAGACAGUGGGAAGAGAAUGAAAUGGUGCUGUGGAAUAACAAUGUUGAAUUAACAUAACAAUGUAAAAGUAAGCUGGAUAUUAAGAUGAUUAAAAAAUAAUGUCCAAAUAGCAAAUGAAAAUAAAUAAAGGGGAAAAAAAGAAAUUUGGAGCAUCAAACCUGAAGCAAGGUGGAGGAAAUUUUUUAUGUUUUAAGUUCUGAAGGGAAGUUUGAUGUUUUUGUCACUUAAUGGAAAAAGAUGUUCAUUGUAUAUGAAGGUUUUUUGUUUUGUCUUUUGUUUCAUUUUUUCAAGAACUGCUGGGAGUUCCCUUCGUGGCGCAGUGGUUAACGAAUCCGACUAGGAACCAUGAGGUUGCGGGUUCAAUCCCUGGCCUUGCUCAGUGGGUUGAGGAACCGGUGUUGCCGUGAGCUGUGGUGUAGGUCGCAGAUGUGGCUCGGAUCCCGCGUUGCUGUGGCUCUGGCGUAGGCCGGUGGCUACAGCUCCGAUUCAACCCCUGGCCUGGGAACCUCCAUAUGCCGCAGGAGCGGCCCAAGAAAUAGCAACAACAACAACAACAAAAAAGACAAAAGACAAGAAAAAAAAAAAAAAAAAAA
rnacentral:lncRNA from 1 species